rnacentral:rRNA from 1 species
UCGAGAAUCAUUCACAAUGGGGGAAACCCUGAUGGUGCGACGCCGCGUGGGGGAAUGAAGGUCUUCGGAUUGUAAACCCCUGUCAUGUGGGAGCAAAUUAAAAAGAUAGUACCACAAGAGGAAGAGACGGCUAACUCUGUGCCAGCAGCCGCGGUAAUACAGAGGUCUCAAGCGUUGUUCGGAAUCACUGGGCGUAAAGCGUGCGUAGGCGGUUUCGUAAGUCGUGUGUGAAAGGCGGGGGCUCAACCCCCGGACUGCACAUGAUACUGCGAGACUAGAGUAAUGGAGGGGGAACCGGAAUUCUCGGUGUAGCAGUGAAAUGCGUAGAUAUCGAGGGGAACACUCGUGGCGGAGGCGGGUUCCUGGACAUUAACUGACGCUGGGGCACGAAGGCCAGGGGAGCGAAAGGG